ensembl:lncRNA
CUAUAAUAAAAAUGAUUAUGAGCAAACAAAAUAAUAACUAUCCAUUAAUAACUUCACUGAAAUUAAGCAGUAUUCUAAAUGAGUAUUUUUAAUAAAUCAAAAAAGAUGUUUUUAGAGUUUUGAUAAGAGAAUUUUAAACCUAUGAUUCGCCUGUUUUUCUGAUAUCUAUUUUCCCCCCAGAAUUUCUAAAUCCACUUAAGGCAGUUUUAUAAACUGACAUAUUUUAGCUUGAAUGGUAAAUGUAUUUUUAAAGCUAAAAUAUGUCUAUUCAACUAGUCCUAGAUUUUUUUACCUCCAUGUAGGCUAAUUUUUGUAAAUAAGUUAUCUGAGGAGACUAAGUUCAUCUCCUUAAUGCAUGUACCAUAACAUGUGUAUAUAUUUUUCUAAAACUUGGGAAAUUAUUACAUCUGUAGUUCUACAAUAAAAAUAUUUCAUAUGUUGUUUCAAAUCAAUGAUGAUUUAAAUGUAAACAGGGUAAUCCACAUAAAAAAUCUAAUAUAACACUUUAAUAUUGCCAUAUCACAUGGCUAGCAUGAAAGGAUACACUUUUGAGACUGAAUUAUUAGAUGAGGUAUCACAAGGACGUAUGAAGAGGAUUUAUCAUUAGUCUUUCUGAAUGAAUGCUACUGGAUGGUACCAUGAAGAUUAAAUGACACAAUUAUGCAUACAAAUAUCUAAAUGGAAGGUAUCAGUGAUCACACGUGUUUCCAACUUUACUCCCUUUCAUUGCACAAAAUUUUAGCACUGAAUUACACCUUGGUGUUUAACCUAGUCAUCCAACCUAAUUUUAAUAACAAGAGAACUAAGGUUCCAAGAGUUAACUGACUCAUCCAAGACCAUAAAUUUUAUCAUUUACCAAACUGGCAUCAGAACUAGUUACCUGACUGUAAGAUGACUUCUCACUUCAUUUGAAAGUGUUGUAUACAGAACAUAAGGAAAAUAAUACAGUUGGCUCUCCAAAUCUGUGUUUCCUGAACCCACGGAUUCAAAUAUUCAAAAAUAUUCCACCCCCCUCCAAAUCCCAGAAGGUUCUAAAGAGAAAAACUUGGAAUUGCUGCAUUCUGGCAACUAUUUACAUAGUAUUUACAUUGUAUUAGGUAUUAGAAGUGAUUACUUAAAACAUAUGGAAGGACAUAUGUAAGUUAUAUGUAAAUACUACACUACAGGAUUGUAUAUAAUGGGCUUGAGCAUCCCUUACAUAAAGAUUUUGGUAUUCCCUGGGGGUUCUGAAACCAAGCCCCCACAGAAUCUGAAGGAUGCCUAUAUUUUUAUAGUAUGUUAGCUAAAACAUAAGUUAUUUUUUCUCUUUAGCUAUAGUCUUCAUGCUCUAAGUAUAACAGUAAUUCUGAAGUCAUUUGAUAUCAUUUCCACAUAAUGUCCCAUCUAAAAAAGUCAAAAUUAAUUUCUUACUUCUCUGUUAGGAAGCAUGUCAACACAGCAGAAUUAGUCAUGUAUUGUUUGAAUGUAUAAUCCUGCUAUCUUUUGAAAACUACUCUUCUGGAUUUCAAGAUAAUUUAGCACGGCAUAACUUUUUCUGUGGUCCCCAAAUUGCCCCUCAUUAUCAUACUGUACCUUUUUCCUGAAAGAGAAACCCUCGACCAGCACCCUCAAGACUUAUUUGUUCAUGCGUGGCUCUACGAAAGUUGCUGUCUUUGUCACUUUCCCCUCAAGACCUCCCUCAAGUUCAUGUUCUUGCUCUAAUUACCCCUGUUUCAGACUUGAUCUCCUCUUUUCUGUCUAGUGUGGCUUUGAAUGUGGUCCCCUUGUGGCUAUUGAUGACAGACUGGAUUGGCAAGUGGGUUAUACACCUGAGGAAAGCAAGGGGAAUGAGGGGAAGAGGAGAGCAAAAUGGGGAGAAGGUGGGAGAAAGGGAGAGAGAGGCUGCAGUGUUACAAUCAUGUACAUUUUCUAAAUAGAAGAGUAAAUAUUAGACUUCACAUGCCGGGGUCUAAAGGAUCAUCCUUGAAAGGAAGUGAGACCUGUCUGAUUAUUUUUCCAUGUCAGUUGUGAUGCUCUGUACUUACAUAUCAAAAGAGAAAGAAAAAGUAACUUUAGGUUGACAAAUAAGCCUUUUGCAUUCCAGUCUGAACAUGUCUGAGUUAAACACUGAGUCAUCCCCUAGUCCAAAUACUAAAACACUAAAAGAAAAGAUGUCAAGUUUUUUCCUUGUUGAAAACCAGCUGCAUCAUUCACCAGGAAAUUUUUAAAGUAAUAAUUUGUAUGUUUUACUUUAUUUUCAUUUUGCAUAAGAUGAUUAGCUCCAGAAUCUGACUGAUAGCCCAGAAUUAUCUUGACAAGGUCUACAUGCACACCAGUACACACCUGUUUCUCCCCGAUUCGUGUUUCAUUUAGUAGAAAAUUCCCAACCAGGUCAUCCUAGUUCACUGGCAUCUGACUGUUGUCUCCCCUGCCCUUUAAUUGUUCCUAUCUCUUUAAAAAAAAAAAGAAAGAAAGAAAGAAAGAAAACAGAAUAACCAUAGUUGUUACUGCUCUUAACUGCAAUUCCUCCCUUAACAGAACUUUAAAAAUUGCUUUUUUUUCUGUUUUGCUACUCAUGCUACUAUUACAGCCCUUCUUUAUUGGAAACAGAGAUAUGUAAUAUACGUUGUUUGGCACUAAAAAGAGCACGACUCUCAUUUCUGGAAAGGUUAGACAAAUAAGCAUCUGUCAAAUAUGUUCAGAGACUUUAGCUGGAGUAUAUUUUUGUGUGUUCUCAUGGUUUUGUUGUCAGUUAUCUUAAAGUUCACUUCUUACACCCCUUCCCCUUCAGUAAUCUUUCAUAUUUUAAGCUAUUAGUAAAUAAAAAUAUUAGAUGCUCUGUAGUCAAAGGAAAUUCUCAUAUUUUAGAUCUUCAGAUAAAUCCGUAUACAUUCAUCCUCUUAAAAUAGACCAGAAUGAAGGUAUUGGGACCCAGUGAUCAGUUAAUGCUAUAAACUUUUCACAAGGACACUUUAAGUUAGCACUAUAUAAUAAAACUUUCUGCAGGGUUGGAAAUGUUUUAUAGCUGUGUUGUUCCAGAAUGGUAACCACGAGCCACAUGUGCUGUUUUACAUUUGAAAUAUGGCUCGGGCAACAGAGGAAUUGAAUUUUUACCUUAUUUAAUUCUAAUUUUCAUAACUACCUGUGGCUGGUUUGUUAGAAAGUGUAGGUUAAAUAAAAUGAAGAAAAUAUGCAAGUGAUAAAAAAAAUGUAAUCUAUACAUCCAUGUAUUUUGAGUCCAAAUUUGAACUGUAGAUCAUUGUCCAUCCUCCAUCUUCCCUGGCCUAAACCUCAUCAGUGUUUUUAAAUAUAUUUCCCACAAUAACAAUGAGUUCAAAUGGCCUUUCUGAGAAAAGAUUUUUUGUAAGGUAGGAGGCAGGUUAUAUUAAAAUAUUUCAGAGCAGUGACUGUUACUUUUAACUUAAUAAAUCAUUUGAUAUACAUCCAGAUCUAUCGUGGUUUUUUUUUUUAAGUUAACAGAACACAUAUAAAAAUAGUUAAUCUAGGAAAACCAUACUUGCAUUGCUUGAUCAAAUUAAAUACAAAACAGAAGGAAAUUUUUACUUUGUAAAUAGUUUAGCCAUAGUCAUACUCUCAUUUACAGAUGUUUUAGUAUUGAUGAAUGGAAGUUUAGAAUAAGAAGAGACCUUAAAUCCAUGUCUAUGACAGUCAUAGUUGAACUGAUUGAUUAUAUUGUCUUUCAAACAAAUAUUGAUUGAAUCAUGUCUGCAUUCCCAUUGGUCCAAUGGUGGUCUUGACAGAAGCCUAGGCACUUGAAACUGUCUCAGUCCUAUCUGGAUAUUAAUAUUUUAAAUGCAUGGCCAUUUAUAAUUAUUAUUUUUCUUCAAACCUUUAUUCUUGAUUUUCUAAUUCACUUGAUUAAUAUUUUAUGCCUUCUGUAAAGUUAAGUAGCAUGUGUAUCUGUAUGUAAUAAACAAAGAAAGCAUGGGAUAGGAAAAGAAGUUGCCUUUGCAUCUGUUUCUGAUUCGCAGAGCUAGGAGUGAGGUGUUUAUGCAGGCAGUCCACAGAGCUAAGAUAUCAGUCGGCAGUUUGCUGUAAGCACAUGUUCAAUUAUUAAAAUAGUCGACAUUUUAUGUCUGAUAGCCAUAGCGAGGUCACGACAUUAAUUUAUCCAGAGUAUUGUGGGCAACUGUCUAGAGAAAAAAUAGCAUAAAAGACACUGAUGAUGCUGGAGAGAGACAGAAAAAGAAAAAGAAAGAUGGAUCAGAGCAAAGAGACUCUAAGAGAUGACCAAUUUAAUACACACAGGUAGAACAGGAGGGCUGAAGUCAGCAGGCGUCUCACUGUUACCAACAGUAACUAUUUUAAGCUGUGCUGUGCAUGUGUUGAUUUCUGUUAUGGGUUUUCAUUAGAUUCUAAGCUUUGGUUAGACUCUAUUCUAGUCCUUGGUUUCUGAAAUCUAAUAUUGCAUUUGUUGUUUCAGUGCUCAGUGAUUCUUUGCUCUUUCUUCUCUGUCCCUUUCUUCCCCUUCUCCAUUCCCCUCCCUCUUCCUAUUUCUUCGUUUCCUUUUCUUCCCACCUCAUAUUCUUUCCCUUCCUGCCUUUCUCUCUCCGGUGAGAGUGUGUACUUAAUACCAUGCCUCCUCCCGGUGACCACUUCGUUCUUUAUUUGCGUUUUUUGGGUUUGCACUUGAAUUUUUCCUUUUUUUCUGUUCUUUUUCUUUCAAAUCAGAAGCCUGUAGGAGCAGCUUAUAGAGGUACAUAUCCUACUGCAGAUGCUUCUUUCUGAGUUAUGUGAUGUUUUUUUUGGAACCUCUGCAAAUGAUCGUCCUUCAUGUUUGUUGCCACAGAUCUAUUGCCAAACUGCUACCUUAGUUGGUCCUGCAGUGCUGCAGUGCAUGCUGGGAUCUGUCUGUGUGAGUAAACCGAAAUCUCUCCACCACCAGACAGCGUUAGAGUUGGCUUGAGAGCUGCCUUACUUUUCUUCCCUUUGUGUGUUUCUUGUGUGCUGCAGAGUCACCGAUGGCUAGCUCUGUCUGGCAAGUAAUUCAGAAAUAUCGCUCAUGUAGAAAGAAAAGAUCAACCACUUCAGAAGAACCAGAUUCCACUUCUGUGGCCAGGACUUUUAUGUUAUGGCUGGUCUGAUUGUUUUACCCUGCGUUCUAUGCUUCUAAACCUUGGAUCAUUCCUAAAGUACAAAUUCUGUUCUCGAACCACAAACAAGGAUAAAAGAUCGGAAGAAAUUCAGUGAAUAUCCAGGGUUGGAAUUGUGUAUUUUCAGAAGUGUUGAGCUUUAUAAUGCAAUUAUUUAAAGAUAGAGUCUUUUAUUUUCUUAUGUUGCCAGCAUUUUAAGUUACGUGUUUAUUAAGUGGCACUGAUCAAAUAACUACAGAGUAUGCAUGGAAAUAUUGGCUGUCUGAAUAGUUUGGAGAUUCAAAGAGAAAUAGCAAGCUGCAGAGGUACUAAAUUAUGACAUGCAAAAAAGUUUUUGUUUUAUUCUUAACUGCAACAGUGUGUGUGUGUAUAUAUAUAUACAUAUAUAUAUGUAUGCAUACAUAUAUAUAUAUAUAUGUAUUAGAUUUAAAGUGUUAUAUGUCCUGGGCCCACCUGACAAGUUGUGGUGUGUAGGCGUAUAAUGGGAAGCAAAAUUCAAUUAGGUCCCAUUAACUGGCAUAUAAUCCUUCUUUAAUGUAAUAGAAGCUAUGGUGUUGCUGUACAAAUUUGCUAGAAACAGAUUUUUAACCCAUUUUUGGUCUCUUUCUUAGAUCUAAUGGAAUGACUCUUAACUGUUCAUUAUCUGCAUUGUUCCUUACAUUCUUCAUUAUUUUAAGGUCUGAAAUUAGUCUAUCAAUGGUUGUUGUGAAUAUUCAGCUCAUCCUAACUUAUAUAUGCCAUACAUACAUCUAUAUUUCUACGUGUGUAUUUUCAUUAGUAUUGAGAGGGAAAAGUUAACUGAACCCAACUGUAAUUUCUAAACUAGCCUUAUUACUGGAAGAAGAAUUCUACCGCAUCAAACCGGAC